rnacentral:tRNA from 1 species
CGGGCCGUAGCGCAGUCUGGUAGCGCACUUGCAUGGGGUGCAAGGGGUCGAGAGUUCGAAUCUCUCCGGCCCGACCA